GACCUUGUAGCUUAGUUGGUAAAGCGUCUUCGUGUUGUACAUCAUCUCCUUGACUUCGCGUGGAAUGCCGUGGGUUCGAGCCCCGCCGAGGUCU